GAUGAACGCUGGCGGCGUGCCUAAUACAUGCAAGUCGAGCGAACAGAUGAUGAGCUUGCUCCGCUGACGUUAGCGGCGGACGUGUGAGUAACACGUGUAUAACCUACCUAUAAUACUGGUAUAACUUCGGGAAACCGGAUCUAAUACCGUAUAAUAUAUUGAACCGCAUGGUUCAAUAGUGAAAUACGGUGGUUGCGGCAGUUCUGGAUGGAUCCGCGCCUCAUUAGCUGGUUGGUGGGUUAGUGGCUUACCAAGGCUAUGAUGCGUAGCCGGCCUGAGAGGGUGACCGGCCACAGGGGGACUGAGAGACGGCCCAGACGCCUACGGGAGGCAGCAGUGGGGAAUAUUGCACAAUGGGCGGAAGCCUGAGGCAGCAACGCCGCGUGCGGGAUGACGGCCUUCGGGUUGUAAACCGCUGUCGCCUGUGACGAAGCGUGAGUGACGGUAAUGGGUAAAGAAGCACCGGCUAACUACGUG
rnacentral:rRNA from 1 species